AUGAGAUUGUUUUACUUUUAUCAUUAUAACAUUAUAACUUACUACUACUUACAUUUUUAUAGUUUUACUCUCAACAUUUGUAGCUAAAACAUUAUUAUGUAGAACAGAUUGAACACGUGAGAAAAUAAAAAAGCUUAAAAACAGCUGAUCUGACAUGCACUUAUGGUUUUAUAUUAUUCGUUUUUCAUUUAGUUUUAUUAUGAAUAGAGUGAUGACUAGUGAUAAAGAUGCUGAUGUUGAUGAUGAACUACAAAAGCCAUGUGAAACACAUGUUAUCUUUAAUGCUUGGUAUUAUUUUACUUCUAAUAUGUAAAUGUUAACAUUUUUAUCUUUGAUGUGUAUAUUAUAAGUCAGUGAAUAAGAAAUAUAUGUGUUGGCGUAUUUGUGGCUCAUGAUCUUUAGUGCGUAACUUUUAGAUAUUAA